rnacentral:rRNA from 1 species
GACGAACGCUGGCGGCGUGCUUAACACAUGCAAGUCGAACGGAAAGGCCUGCUUUCCCUUGUGGAUUGCGGGUACUCGAGUGGCGAACGGGUGAGUAACACGUGAGUGAUCUGCCCCCAACUUGGGUAUAAGCCUGGGAAACUGGGUCUAAUUCCCGAUAGGACUGCAGGGUGGUGCCCGUGGUGGAAAACGAUUUUCUAGUGGUUGGGGAUGAGCUCGCGGCCUAUCAGCUUGUUGGUGGGGUAAUGGCCUACCAAGGCGGCGACGGGUAGCCGGCCUGAGAGGGUGGACGGCCACAUUGGGACUGAGAUACGGCCCAGACUCCUACGGGAGGCAGCAGUGGGGAAUAGUGCACAAUGGGCGGAAGCCUGAUGCAGCGACGCCGCGUGGGGGAUGACGGCCUUCGGGUUGUAAACUCCUUUCGACCGCGAGGAAGCCACCUGGUUGGAAGGGUGGUGACGGUAGUGGUAGAAGAAGCACCGGCUAACUACGUG